AGUGAACGCUGGCGGUAGGCCUAACACAUGCAAGUCGAACGGCAGCACAGUAAGAGCUUGCUCUUACGGGUGGCGAGUGGCGGACGGGUGAGGAAUACAUCGGAAUCUACUUUUUCGUGGGGGAUAACGUAGGGAAACUUACGCUAAUACCGCAUACGACCUACGGGUGAAAGCAGGGGAUCUUCGGACCUUGCGCGAUUGAAUGAGCCGAUGUCGGAUUAGCUAGUUGGCGGGGUAAAGGCCCACCAAGGCGACGAUCCGUAGCUGGUCUGAUAGGAUGAUCAGCCACACUGGAACUGAGACACGGUCCAGACUCCUACGGGAGGCAGCAGUGGGGAAUAUUGGACAAAGGGCGCAAGCCUGAUCCAGCCAUACCGCGUGGGUGAAGAAGGCCUUCGGGUUGUAAAGCCCUUUUGUUGGGAAAGAAAAGCAGCAGGUUAAUACCCCGCUGUUCUGACGGUACCCAAAGAAUAAGCACCGGCUAACUUCGUG
rnacentral:rRNA from 1 species